AACGGGGAUGUUAGCUUGCUAAUAUCUGCCGGCGACCGGCGCACGGGUGAGUAACGCGUAUGCGACCUGCCCGUCACAGGGGGGAUAAUCCGGAGAAAUCCGGUCUAAUACCGCAUGAUAUCGUGAAGCUGCAUGGCUUUGCGAUUAAAGGAGCGAUCCGGUGACGGAUGGGCAUGCGUGACAUUAGCUAGUCGGCGGGGUAACGGCCCACCGAGGCGACGAUGUCUAGGGGUUCUGAGAGGAAGGUCCCCCACACUGGUACUGAGACACGGACCAGACUCCUACGGGAGGCAGCAGUGAGGAAUAUUGGUCAAUGGGCUUACGCCUGAACCAGCCAAGUCGCGUGAGGGAAGACUGCCCUAUGGGUUGUAAACCUCUUUUGUCAGGGAGCAAUUGGCGCUACGUGUAGCGUUAUCGAGAGUACCUGAAGAAAAAGCAUCGGCUAACUCCGUGCCAGCAGCCGCGGUAAUACGGAGGAUGCGAGCGUUAUCCGGAUUUAUUGGGUUUAAAGGGUGCGUAGGCGGAAUGCCAAGUCAGCGGUAAAAUCGCGGGGCUCAACCUCGCUCCGCCGUUGAAACUGGCGUUCUUGAGUGGGCGAGAAGUAUGCGGAAUGCGUGGUGUAGCGGUGAAAUGCAUAGAUAUCACGCAGAACUCCGAUUGCGAAGGCAGCAUACCGGCGCCCAACUGACGCUGAAGCACGAAAGCGUGGGUAUCGAACA
rnacentral:rRNA from 1 species